rnacentral:rRNA from 1 species
UGCCUAUUCGUAAAAGGUGGACGUAAAACAUUCAUGCUGUAAUAAAUUGUGCUGAACUGAAGGGACUGAUGGAAUUCCGGAUUGUGUAAAUAUUUUUUCACAUAAAAACUUGGAACUCCUGCAAUAUCGAGGAUAUGUCUUUCAUAAAGGAGAAGCUGGGUAACCGGUUCCGGAAUGAUCAGAAAGAGAAUUCUCUGGAGGGAAUGCUCCGAUGCCGGCAUUUUUUUUCGGGUAAGUUCCAAGAGAGAGCCAUGGACCCAACGCUUCAAAAGGUAGGGUCCAUUGGUAACGAGAUUCUGAGGAUCUGUCCAUCUGUCGCCAUAUUUCCGGAUCAAGUCCAUUCUGACCGGAUCCGUAAUGGGAUUUGUCAACAAAGAGGGAAAAGGCGCCAUCGGAUGAGAAAGGUGAAUAACGAGCAAAUCAGGAGCUGGAGUCUCGAUGCCAACGGAAGACUCCGGACAUUUUUUUUCGUGAAAACAAGUCGCUCCGACAAUAUCAAAAAGGUAAUAGGCAUAGGGGGAUGCUGUUUCAGGACGAAGGAGACGGAGAAAAGAAUCCCGAAAGUUUGCGGAUGUUACGGGAAGGCCAUCACUCCAGCGACUAUUAUGGGAAAUAUGAAACGUAAAUGCGGUCUGAUUUGCAUUUGAGGACCAAUUGUCCGACACGUUCCCGACAACAUGCAGGUUUUUAUCAAAUUUUGUGAGUCCGGACAUCAGGUUCGCAAUCACUUCCAUGGAAAUUCCGUCCGUCGCCUUGUUCCAAUCGAGCGUCGAUGGAUCAUCGGAAAGGGCGACGAUAAAAGUAUCCUGCGAGGAAUGCGAUGGAAUUCCUUGAAAUUGAGGGGUACAAGAGAGAAGAGAAAGGAGGAUGGCAAUAGGAAAAAUUGGUAAAAACAGUCGAAAAAGCAAGAACAGUAUCCUCUCGUUUGCGGUAAUCCUCUGAUGCCGGAUGCCCAAGGAGUUAGACUACGGGUGCUAAGAUCCGUGGUCAAAAGGGAAACAGCCCAGACCGCCAGCUAAGGUCCCCAAUCCAUGCUUAGUGGGAAAGGAAGUGGAUAUCCAGAGACAGCCAGGAGGUUGGCUUAGAAGCAGCCAUCCUUUAAAGAGUGCGUAAUAGCUCACUGGUCAAGGGUAUCUGCACCGAAAAUGUAACGGGGCUCAAGCAUGGAACCGAAGCUGCGGACUGUCCGCAUGGACAGUGGUAGAGGAGCGUUCGUUCCGGGGUGAAGGAUGACCGAAAGGGCAUCUGGACCGGAAUGAAGAGAGAAUGCCGGCAUGAGUAGCGUUAAAAGACGCGAGAACCGUCUUCGCCGAAAGUCUAAGGAUUCCUGGGCAACGUUCAUCGACCCAGGGUGAGUCGGUCCCUAAGCCGAGGGGGAAACCCGUAGGCGAUGGACAACAGGUUAAUAUUCCUGUACCCGGUGGCUGGCGAAUACCAAGGCCAGAGGGGGGACGCAGAAGGGAAGGCACCGCCACGAGAUGGUUUUCGUGGUCCAAGCCCGCAGGGGGGGUCUCAGGUAAAUCCGGGACCCAUGAACCGAGAGGUGACGGGGAGCCGCGCAAGCGGCGAAGGGGCCGGGCCCACGCUGCCAAGAAAAGCCUCGCUGGAAGUGAGCCAUCGGACCGUACCGCAAACCGACACUGGUAGACGGGAGGAAGACUCCAAGGCGCAUGAGAGAACUCUCGCUAAGGAACUAGGCAAACUCGCCCCGUAACUUCGGGAGAAGGGGUGCCGACGGUGUGUCAAAGCACCGGUCGGUCGCAGUGAAGAGGGUCAAGCGACUGUUUACCAAAAACACAGGACUCUGCAAAGUCGAAAGACGACGUAUAGGGUCUGACGCCUGCCCGGUGCUGGAAGGUUAACGAGAGGGGUUAGUGCGCAAGCGCGAAGCUCUGAACCGAAGCCCCAGUAAACGGCGGCCGUAACUAUAACGGUCCUAAGGUAGCGAAAUUCCUUGUCGGGUAAGUUCCGACCCGCACGAAUGGCGUAACGACUUGACCGCUGUCUCAGCGAGAGACUCAGCGAAAUUGACGUGCUGGUGAAGAUACCAGCUGCCCGCAACUAGACGGAAAGACCCUGUGCACCUUUACUAUAGCUUGGCAGUGGGUGCUAGGAUAACCUGUGUAGCAUAGGUGGGAGGCGUGGAAGCGCAUGCGCUAGCAUGUGUGGAGCCGACGGUGAAAUACCACCCUGGUGAUUCUGGCAUCCUCACCGCGUCCCGUGAUCCGGGACCGGGACCCUGUCUGGCGGGUAGUUUGACUGGGGCGGUCGCCUCCUAAACAGUAACGGAGGCGCCCAAAGGUUCCCUCAGGCUGGACGGAAACCAGCCGUUGAGUGCAAAGGCAUAAGGGAGCUUCACUGAGAGACCGACGGGUCGAUCAGAUGGGAAACCAGGGCUUAGUGAUCCGGUGGUACCUCGUGGGAGGGCCAUCGCUCAGCGGACAAAAGGUACGCCGGGGAUAACAGGCUGAUCUCCCCCAAGAGUUCACAUCGACGGGGAGGUUUGGCACCUCGAUGUCGACUCAUCGCAUCCUGGGGCUGAAGUUGGUCCCAAGGGUUGGGCUGUUCGCCCAUUAAAGCGGUACGAGAGUUGGGUUCAGAACGUCGUGAGACAGUUCGGUCCCUAUCUGUUGUGGGCGUUGGAUAUUUGAGAGGAUCGGUCCCUAGUACGAGAGGACCGGGAUGGACUGACCUCUAGUGUGCCGGCUGUCGUGCCAACGGCAGGCCGGGUAGCUAUGUCGGGACGGGAGAACUGCUGAAAGCAUCUAAGCGGGAAACCCACCUCAAGAUAAGAUAUCCCGCCGCGCAAGCGGCCAGAAGACCCCUGGUAGACGACCAGGUUGAUAGGCUGGGCAUGUAAGGCCUGCAAGGGUUUGAGUGUACCAGUACUAAUCGGUCGAGCGGCUUGAUGCA